rnacentral:tRNA from 1 species
GGCGGUCCAGUGGUAGGACGCAGUGCUUUCACUGCUAUGGCUUGGGUUCAAUUCCCAAGCCA